UCCCUCUCAGGAUGGCACCUGGAGAGUUUCAAGUAGUCUGCCAGUCUCAGCUACUGGAGGGAGAGUCAAGCAGAGGGCCACCCAUUCCAUUCUUAGCUUGGGCAGUGGCUAGCGAGCGGAAGGUGAUCUGCUACAAGU